rnacentral:rRNA from 1 species
AUUGAACGCUGGCGGCAUGCCUUACACAUGCAAGUCGAACGGUAACAGGUCUUCGGAUGCUGACGAGUGGCGAACGGGUGAGUAAUACAUCGGAACGUGCCCGAUCGUGGGGGAUAACGAAGCGAAAGCUUUGCUAAUACCGCAUACGAUCUACGGAUGAAAGCAGGGGACCGCAAGGCCUUGCGCGAACGGAGCGGCCGAUGGCAGAUUAGGUAGUUGGUGGGAUAAAAGCUUACCAAGCCGACGAUCUGUAGCUGGUCUGAGAGGACGACCAGCCACACUGGGGCUGAGACACGGCCCAGACUCCUACGGGAGGCAGCAGUGGGGAAUUUUGGACAAUGGGCGAAAGCCUGAUCCAGCCAUGCCGCGUGCAGGAUGAAGGCCUUCGGGUUGUAAACUGCUUUUGUACGGAACGAAAAGACUCUGGUUAAUACCUGGGGUCCAUGACGGUACCGUAAGAAUAAGCACCGGCUAACUACGUG